rnacentral:rRNA from 1 species
CCUACGGGGGACAGCAGUGGGGGAUAUUGCACAAUGGGGGAAACUCUGAUGCAGCGACGCCGCGUGAGUGAAGAAGUAUUUCGGUAUGUAAAGCUCUAUCAGCAGGGAAGUAAAUGACAGUACCUGACCAAGAAGCCCUGGCUAACUACGUGCCAGCAGCGGCGGUAAUACGGAGGGGGCAAGCGUUAUCCGGAUUUACUGGGUGUUAAGGGAGCGUAGUCGGUUAUGUAAGUCAGGAGUGAAAGCCCGGGGCCCAACCCCGGGACUGCAUUGGAAACUGUGUAACUGGAGUACAGGAGGGGCAGGCGGAAUGCCUGGUGUAGCGGUGAAAUGCGUAGAUAUCAGGAGGAACACCGACGGCGAAGGCAGCCUGCUGGACUGAAACUGACGUUGAGGCUCGAAAGCGUGGGGAGCAAACAGGAUUAGAUACCCCAGUAGUC